rnacentral:rRNA from 1 species
CCUACGGGCGGCAGCAGUGAGGAAUAUUGGUCAAUGGACGAAAGUCUGAACCAGCCAAGUCGCGUGAAGGAUGACGGUCCUAUGGGUUGUAAACUUCUUUUGUCUGGGAACAAAGUUCAGCUCGUAAACCUUAUCGUAUGUACCCUAUGAAUAAGCAUCGGCUAACUCCGUGCCAGCAGCCGCGGUAAUACGGAGGAUGCGAGCGUUAUCCGGAUUUAUUGGGUUUAAAGGGUGCGUAGGCGGGCCGUUAAGUCAGCGGUAAAAGGCCGGGGCUCAACCCCGGCGAGCCGUUGAAACUGGCGGUCUUGAGAGGGCGAGAGGUAGGCGGAAUGCGUAGUGUAGCGGUGAAAUGCUUAGAUAUUACGCAGAACUCCGAUUGCGAAGGCAGCAUACCGGAGGCGAACUGACGCUGAGGCUCGAAAGUGUGGGUAUCAAACAGGAUUAGAUACCCCUGUAGUC